UACGGGGGGAGCAAGCGUUGUUCGGAUUUACUGGGCGUAAAGGGCGCGUAGGCGGCCACCGCAAGUCAAUUGUGAAAUCUCCGGGCUUAACUCGGAAAGGUCAACUGAUACUGCGGGGCUAGAGUGCAGAAGGGGCAACUGGAAUUCUCGGUGUAGCGGUGAAAUGCGUAGAUACCGAGAGGAACACCUGCGGCGAAGGCGGGUUGCUGGGCUGACACUGACGCUGAGGCGCGAAAGCUAGGGGAGCGAACGGG
rnacentral:rRNA from 1 species